UCGAGAAUCUUCGGCAAUGAGCGCAAGCUUGACCGAGCGACGCCGCGUGCGGGAUGAAGGCCUUCGGGUUGUAAACCGCUGUCGUAGGGGAGCAAGAGAUGAGGGUACUCCCUCAAAUUUGAGCGAUCCUAGGAGGAAGGACGGGCUAAGUUCGUGCCAGCAGCCGCGGUAAGACGAACCGUCCAAACGUUAUUCGGUAUCACUGGGCUUAAAGAGUUCGUAGGCGGCUCCGUAGGUGAGGUGUGAAAUC
rnacentral:rRNA from 1 species